AUACGGAGGGUGCGAGCGUUAAUCGGAAUUACUGGGCGUAAAGCGUACGUAGGCGGUUGGUUAAGUUAGAUGUGAAAGCCCCGGGCUUAACCUGGGAACUGCAUUUAAAACUGGCGAACUAGGGUUGAGUAGAGGGGAGUGGAAUUUCAGGUGUAGCGGUGAAAUGCGUAGAGAUCUGAAGGAACACCAGUGGCGAAGGCGACUCCCUGGACUCGAACUGACGCUGAGGUACGAAAGCGUGGGUAGCAAACGGGAUUAGAAACCCUGGUAGUCC
rnacentral:rRNA from 1 species